rnacentral:lncRNA from 1 species
CUAGAAACGAUUCGAUUGAUCGUUUUAUGUGUUAAUUAAUUGUCGGAGUAGAGGACUUUGUGCAUUUCAGACUGGAUGCUGUUCCUUGACUGAAUGGCCAAUGUCUUCCAGGGACCCCUCCCCGAAGAAGUCUCCCACUCCCCUGGGCAAUGGAGCAGUACCCUUGCUUCUGGUGGAUUGAGGAUUCUAUUGUCACCAUUCCUGCUGCCCAACCAAGGGAAGCAUGUCACCCGCCAUAGGCCAAAUGGAGGAAAGAGGCCUAUGGUGAAUGGGGCUUCUUUGGCAUUGGGAAGCCCGACCCAAAUUCAGUUG